rnacentral:lncRNA from 10 species
AAAAAACAUGAACUGCCAUUUGAUUUUCCACUCAAUUGCAUCUACCAACUGGCAGACAGACCAACUGAGAGAGUCCGUCCGUUCAGUAGCUGGAUUCGCCAUGGGUGUGCCCCAGGAGUGUUAGCAAGGCUAUUUCUCCGGAUCAGAAUAGUCCACAGACAGCAACUCUCUGAGGGAAGGCUCCACAACUGAACUAGGAGAUCUCUACAUAUGAAAGGUGAAGUAACUUGAUUUCAGUUGUUUUGGAACUAACUUGGAGUGGUGAGAAACUACAGCAUUGUCGUGUUCUCACUAUCAGAGGUGAUUUUCUUCUAUCAAAUGCUGCUGAGUUGAGGUCAAUGCUUGAUCUGAGGACCAACGAUACAAUCUCACUUUAUUUUCAGGGCCUACAAAUGUCCUUGGCCACUGGACCAGGAAUCCAGUGGGGGUUCCAGAUAGACUCUCCAGAUGUAGAACGAAUAAUUGACUAUUAAUCUGCUGGCCACACUCACCAGGAAGGACAAAGAGGCACUAAUUCAACCUCCAACCACACUGGCAAUGGAGCAUGUAUCUCAGUGUCUCAUCUCACUUUGGAUGGACCAUGGUCCCUGACUCUCAUCCUCCUUAUCAGCACCUGGGUGUUUUUUUAAUAUGUUCCUUAAACAUAAACAAACCAACAAAAAAUCUCAUUCUGCAAAUAACACCUGAAUAUUGUCUUUCACUCAGAAGAGUGCCUAUUGAAAUUAAUAAAAGAAGAUUUGCAGCUUUCGUUUUCUGUUUUCCAAGUGAAUGGCUUUAUGUCUAGUUGUUUGGGAUGGUGGAUGAAGGAUCAGGGAAGGAGGUUGUAGAAUGGGAAAUGGGGGAGAGAUGGAUGUUACCGUAUAAUGAAGGAAGAUAAGCACAGAAAGGGGGAAGUAUUCUAUU